rnacentral:rRNA from 1 species
AGAGUUUGAUCCUGGCUCAGGACGAACGCUGGCGGCGUGGAUUAGGCAUGCAAGUCGGACGGGCCGCAAGGCCAGUGGCGGAAGGGUGAGUAAGGCGAAGGUAACCAACCCCAUGGUUGGGCAUAGCCGGGGGAAACCUCGGGUAAUUCCCAGCGACGCGGCUCCUCGGCAUCGAGGGGCCGCCAAAGAUUCAUCGCCGUGGGACGGGCCUUCGUGGUAUUAGCUUGUUGGUGGGGUGACGGCCCACCAAGGCUGCGAUGCCUACCGGGCGUGCGAGCGUGGCCCGGCACACUGGGACUGAGACACUGCCCAGACUCCUACGGGAGGCUGCAGUCGAGAAUCUUCGGCAAUGGGCGCAAGCCUGACCGAGCGACGCCGCGUGGAGGACGAAGGCCUUCGGGUUGUAAACUCCUGUCGAGGGGGAGGAAGGGGCAACCUUGACCGAUCCCUGGAGGAAGCACGGGCUAAGUUCGUGCCAGCAGCCGCGGUAAGACGAACCGUGCGAACGUUAUUCGGAAUCACUGGGCUUAAAGCGCGUGUAGGCGGGCCGCCACGUCGGCUGCUGAAAUCCCCCGGCUCAACCGGGGAACGGGCACCGAUACGAGCGGCCUUGAGGGGGGUAGGGGGGUCUGGAACUUCCGGUGGAGCGGUGAAAUGCGUUGAGAUCGGAAGGAACGCCCGUGGCGAAAGCGAGGCCCUGGACCCUUUCUGACGCUGAGACGCGAAAGCCAGGGGAGCGAACGGGAUUAGAUACCCCGGUAGUCCUGGCCGUAAACGAUGAACACUGGGUAGGGGGCUCGCCGAUGGGCUCCCUGCCGUAGGGAAACCGUGAAGUGUUCCGCCUGGGGAGUAUGGUCGCAAGGCUGAAACUCAAAGGAAUGACGG